AUUGAACGCUGGCGGCAUGCCUUACACAUGCAAGUCGAACGGUAACAGGUUAAGCUGCCGAGUGGCGAACGGGUGAGUAAUGUAUCGGAACGUGCCCAGUCGUGGGGGAUAACUGCUCGAAAGAGCAGCUAAUACCGCAUACGACCUGAGGGUGAAAGCGGGGGAUCGCAAGACCUCGCGCGAUUGGACCGGCCGAUAUCAGAUUAGGUAGUUGGUGAGGUAAAGGCUCACCAAGCCGACGAUCUGUAGCUGGUCUGAGAGGACGACCAGCCACACUGGGACUGAGACACGGCCCAGACUCCUACGGGAGGCAGCAGUGGGGAAUUUUGGACAAUGGGCGCAAGCCUGAUCCAGCCAUGCCGCGUGCGGGAAGAAGGCCUUCGGGUUGUAAACCGCUUUUGUCAGGGAAGAAAAGGUUCUGGCUAAUACCUGGGACUCAUGACGGUACCUGAAGAAUAAGCACCGGCUAACUACGUG
rnacentral:rRNA from 1 species